AGAUUAUUUCUUCUGCUGCAAAAAGAAUACUCAAGAUGUGGCAGUGGAAAUAGAAAACUUCAGUAGUAAACUUGGAUUGGGAAGUACUAACCUGUAUCUAUAUGGGCACACGAACACAGAUGAAUAAGAAGAUCAAGAGAUCACUCCUGAACCCCAGGUGCACAGACAAUUGUUCGCUACCCACGUGGUUACUGGGAAUGAAAUGUACAGUGCUGAGCCAUCUAUCCAGCCCCCUGACUCAGGAUCUCAGGCAGUGGUGAAAUCUAAGGUCCAAAAACGAUACAAUUUUCUCAAGGCAUCGUGACAAUUCCAGUAGCAGAGUGGCCAGACAACAUUUUUGACUUCUUGUCUUCUACCUAAG